rnacentral:rRNA from 1 species
CAGCAGCCGCGGGAAAACGGAGGAUCCGAGCGUUAUCCGGAAUUAUUGGGUUUAAAGGGUGCGUAGGCGGAUAGAUAAGUCAGUGGUGAAAGACGGUGGCUCAACCAUCGCAGUGCCGUUGAUACUGUUUAUCUUGAAUAUGGAUGAGGUAGGCGGAAUGUGGCAAGUAGCGGUGAAAUGCAUAGAUAUGCCACAGAACACCGAUUGCGAAGGCAGCUUACCAAGGCAAAAUUGACGCUGAGGCACGAAAGCGUGGGGAUCGAACAGGAUUAGAUACCCCAGUAGUCCUGUCUCUUAUACA